GAUGAAGAACGCAGCGAAAUGCGAUACGUAAUGUGAAUUGCAGAAUUCAGUGAAUCAUCGAAUCUUUGAACGCACAUUGCGCCCGCCAGCACUCUGGCGGGCAUGCCUGUUCGAGCGUCAUUUCAACCAUCAAGCCCCAGGCUUGCGUUGGAGCCCUGCGGCUGCCGCAGCCUCCUAAAAGCAGUGGCGGGCUCGCUAUCACACCGAGUGCAGUAGAUUACUCUUCGCUCAGGGCGUGCAGCGGGUUCCGGCCGUGAAAACCCCUACUUUUAAAGGUUGACCUCGGAUCAGGUAGGAAUACCCGCUGAACUUAAGCAUAUCAAUAAGCGGAGGA
rnacentral:misc_RNA from 1 species